CUGCUAUCAGAGUGGGACUAAGCCAUGCGAGUUAACGUAGCAAUACGUGGCAUACGGCUCAGUAACACGUAGUCAACAUGCCCAGAGGACGUGGAUAACCUCGGGAAACUGAGGAUAAACCGCGAUAAGUCAUGAUUCCUGGAAUGGUUCAUGGCUGAAAUCUAUAUGGCCUUUGGAUUGGACUGCGGCCGAUCAGGCUGUUGGUGAGGUAAUGGCCCACCAAACCUGUUACCGGUACGGGCUCUGAGAGGAGGAGCCCGGAGAUGGGCACUGAGACAAGGGCCCAGGCCCUAUGGGGCGCAGCAGGCGCGAAACCUCUGCAAUAGGCGAAAGCUUGACAGGGUUACUCUGAGUGAUUUCCGUUAAGGAGAUCUUUUGACACCUCUAAAAAUGGUGUAGAAUAAGGGGUGGGCAAGUCUGGUGUCAGCCGCCGCGGUAAUACCAGCACCCCGAGUGGUCGGGACGAUUAUUGGGCCUAAAGCAUCCGUAGCCGGUCCUACAAGUCUUCCGUUAAAUCCACCUGCUCAACAGAUGGGCUGCGGAAGAUACUAUAGGGCUAGGAGGCGGGAGAGGCAAGCGGUACUCAGUGGGUAGGGGUAAAAUCCUCUGAUCCAUUGAAGACCACCAGUUGGCGAAGGCGGCUUUGCCAAACGCGCUC
rnacentral:rRNA from 1 species